AGCCUCACGGGUCCUCAGCUUCUUCCUCCGACCAUUCAAAUGUCUUUGUGAGAGGAAAGCCUUGAAGUACCACUUCAGUGAAAUGAGGCCACAUCCAGCUUUUGUUGUUCAAUGCCAUUGAAAGGAAAGACAGAGCUCACCUUCCCCAAGAUAUUGGUGAUGGUUGUGCCGCACAGGUUCUCUGCAGCCUUCCCUUGCUAGAGCUCAGCUUGGAUGCUCUGACCGGAGGUUGCCAAGGUUUGAAACUAAGAGUUUGAGGCUGGUGAAAUAAAGAGCCCACUGUUUUUAUCUCAGAGCCCAAUAGAGUGCCUUGCCUGGUGAGGGCAGACUGGUGGACAAAGAAGACUGUGGCCCAUGAAGACAAGUAAGUUGCUCCUUGGAAUCAUAUUACAUG